UGAGCAAUCUGCCCUUCUCAUCGGAAUAAGCGUUGGAAACGACGUCUAAUGCCGAAUACGACCUCCUUUCGCAUGAUCGGAGGUGGAAAGCUCCGGCGGAGAAGGAUGAGCUCGCGGCCUAUCAGCUAGUUGGUGUGGGUAAUGGCCCACCAAGGCGACGACGGGUAGCCGGCCUGAGAGGGUGACCGGCCACACUGGGACUGAGACACGGCCCAGACUCCAACGGGAGCAG
rnacentral:rRNA from 1 species